rnacentral:rRNA from 1 species
CCUACGGUGUGCAGCAGUGGGGAAUAUUGCACAAUGGGGGAAACCCUGAUGCAGCGACGCCGCGUGAGUGAAGAAGUAAUUCGUUACGUAAAGCUCUAUCAGCAGGGGAGAAACACUGACCUUACGGUCAGCAGACGGUACCUGAGUAAGAAGCCCCGGCUAACUACGUGCCAGCAGCCGCGGUAAUACGGAGGAUGCGAGCGUUAUCCGGAUUUAUUGGGUUUAAAGGGUGCGCAGGCGGAAUGUCAAGUCAGCGGUAAAAUUUCGGGGCUCAACCCCGUCGUGCCGUUGAAACUGGCGUUCUUGAGUGAGCGAGAAGUAUGCGGAAUGCGUGGUGUAGCGGUGAAAUGCAUAGAUAUCACGCAGAACUCCGAUUGCGAAGGCAGCAUACCGGCGCUCAACUGACGCUCAUGCACGAAAGCGUGGGUAUCGAACAGGAUUAGAUACCCGGGUAGUC